UAAGGGCAACUCCAACAAAUUCCCAAAACGAGUCCCAAUAGCUAAAUUUUGGGUAUAUGAGCUCAAAAUCUCCUCCAGCAGAAGCCCAAAACCGCUCCCAAAAAACAGCGACGCCCAAAAAUCUCCUCCCAGCUCGCAAUAUCUAGCGAAUCCAAUCGGACUCCUAGUCUGCGGAUUCCUCGAUCCCGCGCUCGUCCCGCGCUUCGCGCGCCGCCCGCUGGUUCCCGCGCCGCCCGCAGCGGAGCACUCGUCGGUGGGGCGGCUGCUUCGCCCCCCCCCCCUCCCCCGCAGCCCAGCGAGCGGCGGUGCGUCACGAGGGCGUCGUUCGGCGGCCGGGUAAUCGCCGGCGAUGGGUACUCACCGCCGCAACCUCCACCGUCUGCUCGACCGCCUUCUCGUCCUCUCAUCGCUCCUACUCCUCGCGUCCGGUGAGGUCUUCUUCGAGGAGUGCUUCGAAGAUGGUUGGGAGACUCGGUGGGUGAAAUCUGAUUGGAAAAGGAGCGAAGGAAAAGCUGAUGAUUUGAUGAUGCUGAUCAUCCCUCGCACUUCUGUAUCAAUUGAUGAUGCUGAUGAUUUGAUCACAAACACGUCUUGCUUGCGCUGCGGCUUAAUUCCAGGAACUUGACUGAUCCCUGUGUUUUGUUUUUAUGGACACUAGGCAUACAAACAACAAUGGAUGCCAGACAUUUUGCUAUCUCAGCCAAGUUCCCAGAAUUCAGUAACAAGAAUCGAACACUGGUGGUCCAGUACUCCAUUAAGUUUGAGCAGGAUAUUGAAUGUGGUGGUGGCUAUAUUAAGCUGAUGUCAGGUUACGUCAACCAGAAAAAUUUAGUGGGGACACUCCAUACAGGUUAAGUUCUUACCGACUUUUGCCCUAUGGAAUUUCCCAUUCUUUCAGAAAUCCAUUGUCAUUAGUGGUAAGGACCUGUGUUCUAUGUUAGCUGUGCGCUUAGCUUGUUCAUAUUGUUAAUCACUGAUGAGUGUCACUACAUCUCACAUAAUUAGUCAUGUUGUAGAAGUCCAUAUAGAGAUCAUGGCUUGCAAAUGAAUAAUCCUACCAUUAAUGCAAAAUCUAGUGUCUGAAUAUGAAUUGCAUCCUCUAUCUUUAUGCACUAAUUCUUGUCUGCUGCUGAGAGUUGCCUGCUAACUUUCAUAAAUAGUUGUUAAAAAUAUCACAGUUUGAAUUGUAGCCGUUUAAAAAUAUAGCCGUUGGGAUAUA